UACAAAGCGUAGAAAAGAAGAAGUAGAAUAAGCUAGGCUAACAGAGAGUUCCCGGUAGGUGAGAGGGGCAAGAAGAUGCUUAUUUGAAUACAUCUUGGAGUGUUGCUUCAAACAAGUAUAAACUUAAGUAGAAGCAAACGGUAGUGCACCCGUUAUCGUGCUAGAGUAUAAUUAGCUUUGUGGCUAACGUACUUGAAGAGGUUAUUAUCGUGAGAUAAUAGCAAAAAAAGGUGGUAACGCGGGAUAUCAGCUCUCGUCCUUUAC
rnacentral:ncRNA from 1 species